CCUACGGGAGGCAGCAGUGGGGAAUAUUGGACAAUGGGGGAAACCCUGAUCCAGCGACGCCGCGUGAGUGAAGAAGUAUUUCGGUACGUAAAGCUCUAUCAGCAGGAAAGAAAAUGACGGUACCUGACUAAGAAGCCCCGGCUAACUCCGUGCCAGCAGCCGCGGUACUACGUAGGGGGCAGGCGUUAUCCGGAUUUACUGGGUGUAAGGGGAGCGUAGACGGCAGCGCAAGUCUGGAGUGAAAUGCCGGGGCCCAACCCCGGAACUGCUCUGGAAACUGUGAAGCUGGAGUGCAGGAGAGGUAGGCGGAAUUCCUGGUGUAGCGGUGAAAUGCGUAGAUAUCAGGAGGAACACCGACGGCGAAGGCAGCUUACUGGACUGUAACUGACGUUGAGGCUCGAAGGCGUGGGGAGCAAACAGGAUUAGAUACCCUUGUAGUC
rnacentral:rRNA from 1 species